ACGGAGGGUGCAAGCGUUGUUCGGAAUUACUGGGCGUAAAGCGCGUGCAGGUGGUUUUUUAAGUUUCGUGUGAAAUCCCAUGGCUCAACCAUGGAACGGCACGGAAAACUGGAAGGCUUGAGUACGGGAGAAGAGGGCGGAAUUCCCAGUGUAGAGGUGAAAUUCGUAGAUAUUGGGAGGAACACCGGUGGCGAAAGCGGCUCUCUAGACCGAUACUGACGCUCAUACGCGAGAGCGUGGGUAGCAAACAGG
rnacentral:rRNA from 1 species